CUACGGGAUGCUCCAGACGAGAAAACUUUGCAAUGUGCGAAAGCACGACAAGGUUAAUCCGAGUGGCUUCUGCUAAAGGAACCUUUUGACAGUCCUAGAAACACUGUUGAAUAAGGGGUGGGCAAGUUCUGGUGUCAGCCGCCGCGGUAAAACCAGCACCUCAAGUGGUCAGGAUGAUUAUUGGGCCUAAAGCAUCCGUAGCCGGCUCUGUAAGUUUUCGGUUAAAUCUGUACGCUCAACGUACAGGCUGCCGGGAAUACUGCAGAGCUAGGGAGUGGGAGAGGUAGACGGUACUCGGUAGGAAGGGGUAAAAUCCUUUGAUCUAUUGAUGACCACCUGUGGCGAAGGCGGUCUACCAGAACACGUCCGACGGUGAGGGAUGAAAGCUGGGGGAGCAAACCGGAUUAGAUACCCCUGUAGUC
rnacentral:rRNA from 1 species